CCAUUGGUGGCUCAAAGGUUAAGCACUCAGCUGCCAACUGAAAGGUUAGUGGUUUGAACCUACCCAGUGGC
rnacentral:tRNA from 1 species